CAGGGAGAAGAGCAGAAAAGAGAAUUCGGUUUAAUACUAAUUGUAAUUCCCACUGCGUCCUCUGAGCAGGGCUCGGAUGACGUUUCAGCAGCUGAGAGUCAUGCUCAAGGUUGAGUGAAUGACACUGGUAGUGACUGACAGUACCAGUGAGACCUUUCAAGAUGAGCAAAGGGCACUGACACAGAAAACAAAUCUACAUCGGAUGGACAAAACUGUCCAGCACAUUUCAAUUCAUUAGCAAUUGAUCGAAAAGUAUGAACACAAACAAUUCAGGUUGACAACAAAAUGGGAACUUGUACACUUAAAAAUGUCCUAUUUCCUGCAUCUUCAGAGUAAACAUUUGAUUAAUCGGGUAAUAUUGGUAGGAAUUAACUUUUUUCCACCAGUGCAGAAACAUGUUUUGGUUUGUCCAAAUGCGUCAGACAUUUUUACGUUACGGUUUUGCUGCCUAUUCUGAGCGUAGUGCUCGUUUUCAG
ensembl:lncRNA